GACGAACGCUGGCGGCGUGCCUAAUACAUGCAAGUAGAACGCUGAAGCGAGGAGCUUGCUCUUCUUGGAUGAGUUGCGAACGGGUGAGUAACGCGUAGGUAACCUGCCUGGUAGCGGGGGAUAACUAUUGGAAACGAUAGCUAAUACCGCAUAACAACAGUUGUUGCAUGACAGCUGUUUAAAAGAUGCAAUUGCAUCACUACCAGAUGGACCUGCGUUGUAUUAGCUAGUUGGUGAGGUAACGGCUCACCAAGGCGACGAUACAUAGCCGACCUGAGAGGGUGAUCGGCCACACUGGGACUGAGACACGGCCCAGACUCCUACGGGAGGCAGCAGUAGGGAAUCUUCGGCAAUGGGGGGAACCCUGACCGAGCAACGCCGCGUGAGUGAAGAAGGUUUUCGGAUCGUAAAGCUCUGUUGUAAGAGAAGAACGGGUGUGAGAGUGGAAAGUUCACACUGUGACGGUAUCUUACCAGAAAGGGACGGCUAACUACGUG
rnacentral:rRNA from 1 species